rnacentral:rRNA from 1 species
AACGAACGCUGGCGGCGCGCCUAACACAUGCAAGUCGAACGAGAAUCCGGGGCAACCCGGUAGUAAAGUGGCAAACGGGUGAGGAAUACAUGGGUAACCUACCCUUGAGAAGGGAAUAACCCGCCGAAAGGUGAGCUAAUACCCUAUACGCUAUCUUUUUUUCGAAAAGGAUAGGAAAGCCGGGUCGAGGACCUGGUACUCAAGGAGGGGCUCAUGUCCUAUCAGCUUGUUGGUGGGGUAACGGCCUACCAAGGCUACGACGGGUAGCUGGUCUGAGAGGAUGAUCAGCCACACUGGCACUGAGAUACGGGGCCAGACUCCUACGGGAGGCAGCAGUGAGGAAUAUUGCGCAAUGGGCGAAAGCCUGACGCAGCGACGCCGCGUGGGGGAUGAAGGUUUUCGGAUUGUAAACCCUUUCAUGAGGAAAGAUAAAGUGGGUAACCACUUAGACGGUACCUCAAGAAGAAGCCACGGCUAACUUCGUG